GGGGCCGGUUAGAUUGGUUGAAAGGGACAUGGAGACCAGAAGGGCUUCUUUCCAGUUCCUUCUUUGUGGGGAACAUUGGGAUCAGAGAGGGUUCUAAGCUCAUUUCAGAAGCCCCAACAUACUUAAAUGAACAUGGCUAGAAAAACUGAAGAUUGAAUUUACUAAUCAUUCCUUGCUUCUCAUUUGUCUCAGGAUUAAGCUUUGGAGGGUGGAGAAUAACCCAGUUGAAAAUCUACAAGCAAUGCUGUCCACAUCCCAAAUAGACUGGUCAAAAAGCCUUCAUCCCGUCAGUCACUGACAUCAACUUCAUCCAAAUCAGACUCCUAAAAACCCGGCCUAACUUAUGUGUCAUGCAAAGGAUGGCUCUUGGAAAAAUGCAAAGAAGCAGGGGCCGCUAAGGGAGAGAUGUGAAGGUCAAGGAAGCUCUGAGCUCCUGACAGCCGCCCUUCCAGCCUUCUCCUGCCUUCCAUAGAGAGAUGCUAUGGACUCUUGGUCCAGAGACUCAAAUUCAAGGAAAAGAAGAGGCAACAUUUGCAGUGUUGAUCCUUGAGUUGAACAAAGAGUGGUCAGGAGAAGAAACCAACAAGAAAUGUAACCUACCUCCAGAACUCAGGAACUCAGGUACCCUUAAGGAUAUCAGAAACAAUGAAAUAUGGAUUGGCAGAAGCAUCUUCACCACCAUCUUCAGAUGUAAUUAAUGCAGCUGUUGAAUUUGGUUGACUAUCCACCUAUAAUUACCACAUUGCCCAUUACAGAUUUUUGCUGCCUUUUCUUGCCUCCUUUUCAUUUUUACAUCCACUUAUUCCCUACAGAAAUGACAGAUAAUCAGCAUUUUUGUUUUCUUGUUAUGUUGUCCUGAUAGUACAGCUACAAAUGGAUUUGAUGUGCUGAAUAAUGGUCUACUAGGCCUAAAAAUGAAAGUCUAGACCCUUAGUCAAAAAUAACUUGGAUCUAUGUGGUACCAAGAAAAGAGGAAUUAUAAGAAAAAGAAUAUUAGUUUAAUGUUCUGUAAAUUUUUUUCUUAACCUAUUCUGUCCAGUAUUUACUACUUGGCUGCAUUCCUAAAACAUAAAUUUCACAGGGGCAGGAGUCUUUGUCCAUUUUGCUCAUUAAUGUGUUAGGAAUACUAAAAAGAGUGUCUAGCGGGGUAGUCACAUAAUAAAUACCUGUUGCAUGAACAAA
rnacentral:lncRNA from 1 species